UACGUAGGGUGCAAGCGUUAAUCGGAAUUACUGGGCGUAAAGCGUGCGCAGGCGGUUCGCUAAGACCGAUGUGAAAUCCCCGGGCUUAACCUGGGAAUGGCCAUGGAAACUGGCGAACUGGAGUGCGGCAGAGGGGGGUGGAAUUCCGCGUGUAGCAGUGAAAUGCGUAGAGAUGCGGAGGAACACCGAUGGCGAAGGCAGCCCCCUGGGCUAGCACUGACGCUCAGGCACGAAAGCGUGGGGAGCAAACAGG
rnacentral:rRNA from 1 species